rfam:Pseudomonadales bacterium RIFCSPHIGHO2_02_FTLL_60_43 rifcsphigho2_02_scaffold_16186, whole genome shotgun sequence.
UGUGCUCAGGGACAAGCACAGGUUGUCAGGAAGACAAUCAGGACAUCGCAAGACGCGAUUCAUCAGGAUGAUGAGCUGGGAAAUACAGGGACUAGGGACAAAAGAGUGGGCGGCGCGAGCCGCCCCUUUUUUU